GUUUUUUUUUUUUUAAUAUGUGCCACUUUUCACAAAAGUUUAUUACAUAAGGAACUUUAGAUUGCGCGCACACACAGUAAACAGAAACUAAAAUUUAUACUGUUUUGAUGUUUAGUUAUCUUUAAUACUGGUAAACAGUAUCCAGUAUCUUAUGCAAACAUCAAAGAUUUUUGUUCUUCCUCUGUGUAAUUUGUGAGACUAUUAAAAUCCAUCAGAUUUAUCGGAUUUCCCCUUUAAGCUAGUUCCACAAUAAAAACAUAUCACAAUUGAUAUCACAGGAUAUUAUUUGAGAUCAAUAUAUGACUUUUAGUUCCUAACUUUAACCACCUUUUAAGCCCAUUAAGCUAGUAAAUUGGCAAAACUUUUGCUUUAAGUGUUUUUUAACACAGUAAUGGUGUAUUGAUAAUUUUGCUCUAACAUCUAAAAAGCCAUAAACUCCUCCUGGAUUGCCUUUAAGUCUGCUCCCUGAUUUGCAAAGAGAAGAACUCAUGAAGGAAUGCAAGACAAUAUGAAAUGCGUCAAUUAUUUGCAUAAAAGGUAAAAGUGUAAUAUGUUCAAGUGGCUCCCACUGCUUUCCAGCAAUGAAAAACUUCGAAAGCUAACGGAAGAAAAUUAGUCCCUCCCCUCCCACCCCCUCAUUAAGCUGCAGUAUUCACUAAAGCAAAUCUGAAAAUACAUUUAAGUGCUCAUGGCCUGAAGGGAAUUAGGAAAGUUGCAAUUUUUAAUUCUUCCCCAUCAGUGUCAGAACUUCUGCUCCAGAUUCAUGUUGCUCUUGGAGCUAUUUGAUGCUGCCGGAUGGAUGUUUCCAGUUUGCUUUUUGGGGAAGUAUACUCGGCUCUGGGUAAGCGGCAAAAACACAAGACCUGAGAAGAAAGCACAGAACCAAAACACGGGUGUUUUAAAGAUUAGCACGACAGUGAUGAAUGUACGAAUGAAUGGCUGAUUAAGCCGGAGUUUGACCGACGUCCCCGUAUUAUUCACUGCACCUGUUUGCACUGAAAUCGUUAUUAUGAGCGCAGACGAUGGCCGAGUUCACGUAAUUCUCAGAACAGCCAGUCCACCUUUAACCCAAGCAAAUUAGUGGCCAGAAGUGAAAACAAGUGUGUGUAGAGGUUUAAGAGAUCAGUCUGGUAGAGACUGAGAGCAAAUCUGUCUCAAGAAGCCAAAAGGAAAUGCUGAAGAGAAUGCUUUUUUUUUUUUUUUUUUUUUAACGUUACGUUGAAAGAAAAUACUAGGUCCAGUUAAUUUUGCAAAUCCUUAAAAGAAAAAUGUUUAACAUUUAAGCUUCUAACGUGUGACGGCAGCCUUUUCACUGCAGUUUUUGUGGUGACAUUUAUAGGACGUGUGAUGCUGAUUUAAUAGCCCAUCUGGCAUAUGCGAGAAAGACAUUCAGAAUACUAAGGCCUGUACAGUAGCAGAGAUAUAUUAACUGCUUUCAUCCAAAACAAAUAAACAGCUCUGAUUUCAGAUAUAUUUAGUCGAGAAGGGUUAUGAAAAGUGCAGCUUCUGCCUCAGUUUGCAUCUCUGAUGUGCACAUAUACUGAUCAGCUAUAAACGUAUGUUUAUAAAUUUUUGUAAAUGCAUUCAUGCCAUAUUAACCUUUUCACAAGAGAAAAAAAAUCACACCACACUUUACAGAUUUUCAUUGGGAAAAUUAAUAAAACAUGCAGCCGUUUCCUUACCCUUCACAAUUAUGCAUCAUUUAGUGUUGGUCUUUAACGUAAAAUGCAGCCACAUCCAAUAAAUUUGAUUGUUAUUGAAGAGUUAAUUUAUCUUGGUAACUCAAAUCUCUAAGAGAAGCACAUUACAUAAAUUAACAUGAAAGGCUCUUUGCCUUUUAUUACUUAUUGCUAAUACAAAACGACAUUUAAGAUUACACCUGAUCUAUGAGAGGGGUGGAAAAAAAAGCAAUUCACAAAUGUGGGUUUAACAAACAGCACGUCUAAUCCCUGCUUAAACAUUGUUAUUUUCUAUAGAUACUUUGAAUCUGACAAACUCGCCUCAUCCGAACUCACAUUCCGACUCAUUGGACGCGAUCGUCUAUCGGGCUCGUACCUUGACAAAGUUCAAAGGGGUACUUUUGGAGCGCGCAGCUAAGCAUGGAAACAAUCUGCAUUUGAAUUCACGAUCAUUGCUCUCAUGGUUUCAGUAGCGUAGUAUGUUUUUCUGCAAUUUCAGCCAGACACGAAGAAUAACUGGGCAAUAAAGGCCGGAGGAAAAAUAUCCCACAUCACCUAACACAUCUUCCUUUUCCAGCUUAGAAUAUUGCUCUUAUUGACAGUGACAGACUUAACUGGUCCCAGACUUUUCCAUCAAAGACACUUAUUUCUGCUGCUGCACAUGCACAGGACCCGGCAGCACAUAUAUUUGAAUUUACAGGCUGGACUCGAGAAAUGUGAGGGUGGUAUUAGUUGACAUAAUGAAAGCAGAGCAACUUUCUGAAAGGUUAUAUUCAUCUCUUGUUGUUCUUGUUGCCUGAAAUAUAUGGAGGUCAUCUUAAGGCUUCGACCAGAACAUGUGUCACGACUAUUAAAACGUCAUAUUGCGAUUGCGUGCAAGCAUUUAUCAAUGUGAGCAACACAUGCACGCACAUAAAGUCAAUUAGAGGGCCCGCAAUGCCAUUCUGAGAGCUUAAAACAAAGAGCGCAGUGAUUAUGAAGGGAAUAUCAACAGAUUUCAGCGGUGGAAAAAAAAAAAAAAAGGCUAAAAAUCCCGCGUAGCUGUCGCAGACGCCUGACCAGAAUAAUGAGUGGCCGAUGUCUGGGAGGCAGGUUGAGGCUAGGGCUGAUUUAAAAAACCGGUCGUGUUUAGGAUAUUGUCCUGAUCGAAACCAGAUGGUGCUAAAAAAACAUACUCGUUUUCAUUUUUCAUUGCGAACUCAUUGGGUAAAAGUCCUCCCAGUUUACGGCCGCACUCAUUGGAAGGAAGUUUAAGACCAUGUCAAGAUGCCAACAAUGAGUUUCUCAAUGAAAACUCAAAGUGUGGAGUUUACGAGGAGCUUGGCAGGGCAUCUAAAGCCCCCUCGACAAACCUAUAAAAUCUAACGAGAACGUGCUAAUUUAACUUGAUUCUCCACGAGACUUCGUCAUGCUAAAGAACGCGCUAUUAAAAGUGUUUUAAAUAAACGUCUGAAACCCGGUGCCCCUUGUUAACAUGUACGCCUGUGCUUGUACGGUGUUGGUCCCUCAGGACCAGGAAGAUGGUUUGGCAGGAGGGUAGGCGGGGUGGGGGGAAUCACGAGGAACAGGUCAACACGGGGAGUGGAGGGGAGAGAAGCCAGCCAAGACAGACGGAGGAGUCAAAAAGCAGCCCGUCGAAGUGCUUUGAAUCCGGUGGAAUUCCUCUCCUCCUCCGCGGCUCCUCUGGGAGGCGUCAGGAGCCUGUGGAGAGAGCGAGGUAAGACGGGGCCUGUCAGGAACAAAGCUCCAAAUUCACAUGAUAUGUUUAGCUAAAAGGGUGAAAGAGAAAUGAAUCAAAGCUUGGCGGGAUCAAAGAAGCGCAACAAUAAAGUCGAGGCGGUUGCCAUGGGACCAGCAGGAGAUGCAUAUCAUUUAUAAGUUGUUCUCCGGCUUUGUCAGAUGUGUGGGGGGAAUUGACUGUUAUUGUUUGGAGGGGUGAGGCGCCGCUGGAGGGGGUCAGGAGCAGGGGUCAUCGUCACGCAGCGAGAGGAAUAUAUCGUUCCGCUUGUUUUAAAACAGCGGUUGCCUGUGAUCGGUGUCGGGGGGCCACACCGGAAGCACCUUCAAGCCUUGUGAUAGCAGACAACAAGACAGGCACAACAACAACUCCGCUACACAGACCCCCCUCACCCCCCCCCGGCGAAUAUCGUAUCGCCACAGAACCAUUCGGGGCGGCUGAGCAUUUGCUUUCCGUGUUACAUCGUCAGGGCUUGUGAUCAGUCGUUUUGUAUGAAUGGAGAAUCAAAUAGAUGUUAACCGGAGAAUUAGAUUUUUGACUUACAGUUGUAACAACGGAUGUGAGAGCCGCGUUCAAAAAUAGCCGUGGUGAGGAUGGCGUCUCUGUGAGCAGAUUUAAUCCUCGUAUUUUUAAAAUAGACAUUUAAUUAAAUGCAAGGAUAAGCCGCAAAUAUUUACAGAUGACCUGAAUCUAAACGAUUCAUCAGUAGGACUACACCAUAUUAGAUGACGAAAGUCUUUUACAUGUUUAACUUUCUGUUUGAUAUAAAUUUUUGUCCAUUAUUACAUAAGUGUCUGGGAACUGAUCAGACCCGUGGUUUUGAAAAUGAAACAUUUUCCAGGUUUCGCUUGGUUUGGGGUAUUGUGUAUUUUUUUUGCAUGCUGGAUCCAUCAGAUCUGGACACAAGGCUGUAUAAGUAGCACCUGGACUAUUUAACUCUGAGCCAAGCUGUUGUACAAUACGCUUUAGGUAUUGUCUUGCAAAAAAAAAAAAAUCAUACAUGCCUGGUUAAUAGUUUAUUGAUGUUUUCACAGAUGUGAAAGUUACCAGUUCUUUCUGCGCAUAACAAAAACACACUCAAAAUCACAGAUGCUGACAAAAAGCCAGAUGAUCCCUUUUUCUCAUCAAGGAGUUUCCAGCACCUUUUAUACCCAUUUAUUUUGCACCAGAUAAAUCCUGUUCAAUGUUUUACAGUGGCUUUCAGCUUAGAGAAUGUUGAACUUUUAUCUUGCAUUUCCGGAUGGAUCUCGUGGUUCGUUCCUUAUAGAUUUUCUUCCAACGUUUUCUUGAAUCUUUUGCGUACCACAGAUCAAGUGUGCUUCAAACGGUAAAAGAUCGGUGUUGCAUUUCUACUAUUGUUCCUCAGUUGGCAAUUUCGUGGGGUCCUCACAAAAUAUCUGGAGUUUGACUUUGCAUAUGUGUGGCGAAAAGCUUAGAGAAAAGUAGAUGAGAUGAACCGAGAGAAUCAUAUUGAACCCUUGCCUUAAAAAAAAACAGUCUUCUUCUUCAAAAGAUAAAAAAAUUAGUCAAUGCAAUUGACAUGAGCAUAAGCAUCCCAACAUUAUCUUCUUUUCCUUGGUGUCUGUUACACUCCUCUGUGUCUGUAAUGUGCACCCAUGUAAUGAUGGAACCCACUCGUCUGCUCUUUCAGACUGCACCCAUGAGGAAUCCUAAAAUAACAACAAAGCGCCCUCAGUCGGUUUGAUAAAAGCUCAGUCACCAACCAUUUCGGCUCAGAGAGUUUCCGGCCCGACUGCAUCGCUGAACGACAAGUCACAGAAAGAGACAGAAAGGGAUGUUCACAAGCGAUGAGUCAAUCGGCAGGAAGGAUGUCAAACUGUGAAAGAGACGGUGUGGAGACAACAUCCUGGUUCUCUGUGAGAAAAACAAGGAAGAGGACGAUCAACUCCAGAAGGUCAUGACCUGAAUGCAAGUCCUUCACGUUAAGCAACCGUUCAAUACAGAAGGAAGCUAACACAACCGUCGCUUCGGACACUUCUUUUUUUUUUUUUUUUUGCAGAUUUGUUGUGGAGUGUGUUGAAGUACCGCUUCUCAGUGUGGAGCUCCAGCUGCACUAUCCCAUGCAACAGGGCCCUGCAGAGGAUGUUCCAGUGAUUGGUCAGAAACAGUCUCUUCAACAUGGUCUACCUGAAGCUACCUGGCAACAUCAAGUGAACAAAACUGCAGCAGUCAAGCCCCAAACUGCUACGCAGCUUAUUUAUUUGCA